rnacentral:lncRNA from 1 species
AGAUGUUGUGUCCUUCUUGAUGACAAUUACCACAUCUUGAGGUGGGCAUCCAUGUCUUGUUAAUUGUAUGCCUUCCUUCAUUCUCUAUAGGACAUUUCCUUCUGUUUACUUUGGGCCUUCCUGGCAUUCUCCUAUGUCUAGGUGGUAAUAUGGGAUCACAUAGAACAUCAGGCCACAUGUUAGCUCCAUUAAUUAGUUUGACUGGAUACCUAUAACAACUUCCAAACAUGCUUCAUUUAAACCACAAAAAUACAUAGUCCUCUACAUUUCCAUUCAGGUAUAUUAUUGCAGUGAUGGCAUGCACACAAGGGAUACCACUGAGUUGCCAGGCUCUGCAAUCACAUAUUUUGUGUUCAAGGUGAACUGCAUAAACUUCAUGCGCUAAUUUCACCUCAUAUUCUUGCUCGCCACUUGGAACAACAUCCCAAUACCUGUUAUGAAAUCAUAUUAAGAAGGUAAUUUAUUUCAUAUUAAUUCACUUUCAAUUAAAGAAUAUACCUUUGUUGUUCUUUCAUCUUCUCAAUCCUCUUUCUAAUAGAAGGGAAGAUUUCCAAGUCCCACUUUUUACACUUAAGCUUUUGAUUGUACAUCCUCUCCAUCACGUACAACCUGAUUUCUUCCAGCAUUGUUAUUAUGGGUUUCUUCCGGGCCUCUACGAUUGAUGCAUUAAAAGAUUCAGAUAUACCAUUUUCCACAGCAUCACAACAACUCUCAGGGUCAAAGAAUGUCCUACACCAUGUAUUCAGGUCUCUUUCUAUCAAGUGGUCAUAAGCUUCCGUGGACAUUGUACGAAUUUCCCUCAUGUAUUCAGGUCUCCAAAAUAACCUCCUAAACUUGAUACCCUGAACUCUUUCUUCUUAAAGUUGGAAAAGAUGUGUCGGGCAUAAUUCCUAUGCUUACAUGAUGGUGCCCUUUCCUUAACAGCCUCCAUCAAACCCUACAAGGUGAUAACAAAUUUAAGUUGUAAAGCACAUAAUAACACAUAAUGUAGUAAGUAAAAUUAAACUAAAACACACCUUGUGUUGGUCUGAAAUAAUUAUCAGACCCCUACUAUCUCCUGUCUCAAUGUCCUCGAGUAGAAGAUCAAUGAACCACAUCCAUGUUUCCUUGUUUUCAACUAGCACAACAGCCCAUGCUAGAUGGUACAUUUGGUUGUUUGUGUCCCUACCAACGGUUGUUAACAACUUACCUCUGCAAAUACCCUUCAAAAAACCGCCAUCAACACCGAUAACCCUUCUACAUCCUUCAAUCCAGACAUCCUUGACAAACUUUAGGCAAAUAUACAUCCUUUUGCAGUAGUGUGUAGCAUCAAGCGUAUGAUUUGUCUCAAUUAAGACUGUUGAAGCAGGAUAAACCCUCAAUAACUCAACACCAUAAUUCCACAGUUUCUCAUAAUGGCUUACCAAACUGCCUGAAAUCUCAUCUAGUGCAAAGUACUUGGCAUUUCUACAUUGCCCAAUACUUACCUUGAGACCGUAGUCUUUUCUAACCACUUCUGCCAUUUUCCUAUAGCUAAACCGAGGCCUUUCCAAAAUGUUAGGUAUUAACAUUUUUCCAAUCCACUUAUACGUAACAAGACACCCCAAUUUUUAUUGUCUAGCACAAUUAUGUUUAUCAAUUAGUAAUCUGGAAUGAAUUUUCCUUGUUCAUAGGACUAGCCCAUAGACUAAAAGGGCAAGAUGGCUUCCCUUUUUCAAUUUUAUUGCACCUUACUAACAAUUUAUCCUCAUUUUUUUCAUACCACAAUGCAUAACCCUUAGACACGUCAUCAUUUGUUAACAUGUGUUUCAAUUCAUCCUGAUUAGAGAAUCUCAUACCUAACUUGUCACACCCCCAAACCAGACGGCGGAAACGUCCGAGAGCUAUUGUGACUUAAAUUGAAUACCAUCACAAUGAAUAUACAUGAAUCAUAACAUAAAUCGUCACCAUGCAUUGGAAUAAUACAACUAAUAUUGUUUACAUCCAGUACAUUGUUUUAAACAUUACAAUUUCAUAACAUAAACUGUCUGAUAGAUAUCAUAAGCAAAACGUCCAGACAUUACUUGGUACUUAUUCUUCGGUUUACCUGUUACCUGAGAAUACAAGUUAAUUUUGAAAAACGUCAACAUAUGAAAUGUUGGUGAGUUCAUAAGCAAUGUUGUGAUAAAAUGAUUUGGUGUAGUUUGUAGAACCCAGAAAAUCCGAUAUUUUCUGAAAAGAUCAUUGUUUUUAAAAAAAGUGUGAAGAUUUGUAAAUAUAUGAUUGUUGAUUUUAAAAACAUGUAUAAUUGUUGAACAUCUAUAAUGAUCGCGCAAGUGAAAAUGUUGAACUUCCCAGGAAAACCCGAUGUUUUCCCAUUACAUAAAACACAGUGAAUUCUCAAUUUGUUAUACCGUCACGACAAAUGAUUUUUUAUUACUCGGGUGGCUUUGGAUGAAUUAGGGUUUGUGAGUCGUUAUAAUCAUGCAUUUGAAAAUGACUAGUUUAUAACUACAGGUUUCGAAUGAUCCUUAAAGGCAUCGCCCGUUACUACUCACUUAAUCCAACAACCAUGAUUACUUUUGAUUAACGUCCUGAAUCUGUUUACCUUGAUUACUCGUAAGCCUAACAAAUGAGGAAAAAGGGAGUACGAAGUCCCGUCAUAUUUCGUGAGUUAUUUAGGUUGUCGGGAAUGCGAAAGGCACGUUGGCCCAACUCGCAUUUGAUUUCUUGACCUCAAUAGCAAUACUAAUGGGCCACUAGGGCCCAAUAGCACAUUAGAGCCAUUGAAAGUCCUUUUGCAUAAAACUGGGUCAUAGGAGGCCCAAUAGCACAUAAGCAUAUUCCCUUUGGGCCCAAAGAUCAUGUUAAUGGGAUAGCAAGGCCCAACAAGCAUGAUUUGAAACUUCCAAGCCCAAAGUUUGUAAGUUUGCUCUUCGUAGUUAUCGCGUAUUUAUUUAGAUGGUUUUGUUUAACGCUUGUUGUUUUGUAUUGAUUCGAGACUGAAUCAUUCAUUUGUAACGAUAUUUGUUGUUGAGAGUGUAUUUGUUUUCCGUUUCGUCAGUAGUCGUGGAUCUUGUAUUUUGUAUUAAUGAAUUUAUUUGUUUAAUAGUGGAAUUUGACCUUUUCACUACUCUUCUUUUAUAAAAAUAACACUUUUGGUCCUCUUAUAUACAAGAAUUUCAUUUUUAGUCCAUAAAACCUUUUCUUGACACUUUUGUAAUUUUUAUUUAAUGAAAACACAAUUUUAACCCAAAAUUUAUUUUGUUCACAGCUUCAGCCCUUCCAGAAUAGUGUUUCUCGGUUACAGCCCCAUUUUUCACAACUUUUACAGUUUUGGCCCAAAAUCUAAAAACUUUACAUUUUUGGUCCUUUUUGAUAGUGAAAAGCAUUUUUGACUCAUAAAAUGAUUUUUUCAUGUUAAUUACCCCCUAUUUUACAUAAAGUUUCACUUCAGCCCCUAAAUUUUAUCAUUUUUCACAUUUUGAGGCUUAUUGGGCCGAAAAGCCCAAAAUUAGCCCAUUAAGCUAAAAAUUAACAUUUUAAGUCCCUUGAAAAUUCUAAUGUUCAGAAAAACGAUUAUAGAAACUGUUUUGACCCUUUUGACCUUCAAGAAACCAUGACUUGUCAAUUUUUAUCCCAAGUUUUGUAUUUUUGACAAUUUAAGCCCAAAAAUGGGUUUUAUGUUAGAAUAUGUUCAUCAUGACCUUAUAAGUUAUUAUUCUUGACUUGUUAUGUGUAAAAUAGCUUAGAUUAUGUUUGUUUCCUUUCUCAUGUCAUAGAUCUCGGGUUUACACCCCUUUUGGUAACAUAUUCAUCACAAAACACUUGAAAUCACACACAUACAUGCAUCAAAUCACACAUAGCAUACACAUACACAUAGAUCUACACAUUUUCUUGUAUUCUCCCCCAUAAAACUCAUAAAAACCGAAAAGAAAAGGUUAUGAAGCUCACCUUGAGUUGUGAUUUCGGUUUUGAAGAAGAUUGGGAGAAGUUUGGUGCUAUUUUCGGUCCUAGCAAGUUUCUUGGAUAGAUCUCGAACUUAGUGUGCUCUAAGAUGAAAGAUCAUGAAUUUGAAUGGAUUAAGAGAUGAUUUUUUGAUGAAAAGAAGUGAGUUAAAGCAUGGAUCAAACAUCAACUUACCUUGGAUGUUGAUUUUUGUGGAAGAAUCUCUUUGAAAGCCUCUUAGAUCUCGAAAAUUUUGAGAGAAAUGGAGAGAGUUUCUUGAGAGAAUUUUGAGUGAAGUGUGUGUGCGUGUGUGUGUUUGUUUGGGUUCGACCGAGAGGAAGUGAGGGAGAAGAAGAGAGAAGGGUGAUGGGAUUUUUGCAUGGAAGUAUGAGAGCAUGCAUGGAAAUCCACUAAAUAAAAAUGAGUUGGCACCACAAAGUCAACUCUUUCUUUCUUUGUGGGCUUGGGCUGAAAAUGGAGAGGGGAAAGAGGGGAUUUUUGGGCUUUUUGCCCCUAAGCCCAUAUUAUAGUUAAGUUAGAUGAUGUUGACUCAAUUAAAUCAAAGUAUAAUUUUUAUGACCUAUUAGGGNAGGUUAGUUAUGGCCCAAUAAGGUCCAUUUAGGUAUUUUAUUUCAUUCUAGGCCCAAUAUGAUCCAAAACAUUUAAAAUAUAUGGAAGUGGGUCCUAUUAGAGCCCAUUUAAGAGUUCUAAGCCCAAGAUAGUCAAAUUGGAAGCUUACUGGCCCUUUGGGCCCAAUAAGGAAAUCCUAGUCCAGAAUGGACUUAAACCAGGAUUUCUAGGGUUUCCAAUUUUUUGUUGACUAUUUGCAGUGCUUGUAUGAAGUGUUUGAUUGAAAUUCUAUUGUUAUUGAAUAAGCAUCCGUGUUGGUUCACAUUUGUUAUCAUUGCUCAAUGUUUACAAGGCAUCAAAAUUCCUAGUUGUGACAUCAUCCGCCGUUAGAGGGAAUUUCGUCCCGAAAUUCUUUUGAAAGCUAUAUUUGAGAAUGCGAGCAUAGGUGAGGGUACUUCUGCUUCAUCUAGUCUUCGCAUUCCCAUGUGAAUUCUGGCUCACGCUUAGCGUUCCACCAUACCUUCACAAUCGGAAUGCGACUUUGCUUGGUACGCUUCACCUCCCUGUCCAUGAUUUCGACUGGUUCCUUAACGAACAGGAGAUUCUCGUUGAUUUCAAUUUCGUCAAGGGGAAUGACGAGAGUUUCAUCGGAUAGGCACUUCUUUAAAUUGGAGUUUCAUCGGGGUUUACGCUGCUGAGCUUAGCGGGUAGCUGCAGUCUGUACGCCACUGGGCCAAUUCGGGCAAGAAUCUCGAAAGGUCCAUUGUAUCGUGGAUUCAAUUUUCCCCGUUUUCCAAAAUGAAUAACUCCUUUCCAGGAUGAAACUUUUAACAGAACUCGAUCCCCGACCUGAAACUCCAAGGGCUUUCGUCGUUUAUCAGCGUAGCUCUUCUGUCGGUCGCGUGAUGCUUGUAGUCGAGCUCUGAUUUGAACUAUUUUUUCAGUGGUUUCACGUAUGAUCUCCGGUCCCGUUAACGUCUUGUAUGAUGCUAGUUCCCUCACUAGUUGGGUGUCGCCUACCUCAGCCCAAGACAACGGUGAUCUACACUUACGUCCAUACAGCGCCUCGAAAGGAGCAACUUUGAUGCUCGAAUGGUAACUGUUGUUGUAUGAGAAUUCAAAUAAGGGUAAGUGGGUAUCCAAGGGCUUCCCAAAGUCUAUCACACAUGCGUGAAGCAUGUCUUCAAGCGUCUGAAUGGUUUGUUCGCUUUGACCAUCCGUUUGUGGGUGAUAAGCAGUGCUCAUGUCGAGAUGAGUUCCCAGUGCUUUCUGAAGUGAUUGCCAAAAACGUGAAGUGAAUCUACUAUCUCUAUCUGAGAUGAUAGACAUUGGCACUCCGUGUAGUCUCACGAUUUCUCGAAUGUAUAUUCUUGUCAAUCUCUCCAUCUUGUAGGAUUCUUUUAUUGGCAGGAAAUGAGCAGAUUUUGUUAGUCUGUCAACUAUUACCCAUAUAGUGUCCAAUCCAUCUGACGACUUGGGUAGAUUGGUCACAAAAUCCAUAGUAAUCAUUUCCCAUUUCCACUCGGGAAUUACUGGUUGUUGUAAUAACCCUGAGGGCUUCUGGUAUUCUACCUUUACUUUGGGCAAGGCAUUUGCUAACAUAGGUGGCAAUCUCUGCCUUCAUGUUAAGCCACCAAUAAUGUUGUUUAAUAUCCAAGUACAUUUUGUCCGAACCCGGAUGGAUGGAGUAUCGCGUCUUGUGAGCUUCAUUCAUGACUACCUCCCUAAAUCCUCCAAGUUUAGGGACCCAAAUAUGGUUCAUGAAAUAAUAUACUCCGCCAUCUUUCACCUCAAGAUUUUUCUCCAUUCCGCAUAACGCUUCGCUUGUUUUGUUUUCCGCCUUCAUGGCAUCUGACUGGGCUGCCCUGAUCUGAGUGGUUAGGUGAGAUUGGAUGGUUAUUGAGAGAGUUUUCACACGACGAUUAGACUACUCUUUCUGACUCAAGGCAUCAGCUACCACGUUAGCCUUGUCUAGGUGGUACUUGAUUUCACACUCAUAAUCGUUUAAUAGUUCAACCCACCUUCGUUGCCUCAUAUUCAGCUCUUUUUUAUUCAAGAUGUGUUGGAGACUCUUGUGGUCCGUGAAGAUGGUGCACUUUGUACCAUAAAGGUAGUGCCUCCAAAUUUUCAGGGCGAAGACCACUGCUCCAAAUUACAGAUCGUUGGUUGUAUAAUUCACUUCGUGUGUCUUUAGUUGUCGGGACGCGUAAGCUAUCACCUUUCCACGCUGUAUGAGAACGCAACCUAAACCCUGAUUUGACACGUCAUAGUAAACUACGAAAUCUUCCGUUCCCUCUGGUAGUGAUAGUACCAGGGCACUGCAGAGUGCUUGCUUCAGAGUUUGGAAUGCAGCUUCUUGUUUGUCCGUCCAUUUGAAGGGUACGCCCUUUUGUGUAACCGAGGUAAGUGACUUGGCAGUCUUAGAGAAGUUUUGAAUGAACCUCUUGUAGUAACCUGCUAGACCUAGGAAUUGGCGAAUUUCUGUGGGUGUCGUUGGGACUGCCUAUCCUUCAAUGGCUUUGACCUUAGAAGGAUCCACAUGUAUUCCUUCCUGACUAACAACAUGACCCAAAAAUUUCACGCUACGGAGCCAGAACUCACACUUGGAGAGUUUUGCGUAUAGCUUCUCAGUUCGCAGGGUUUCCAGGAUUUUUCAGAAAUGUUGGCCAUGCUCUUCUUCGCUUCAAGAAUAAACUAGAAUGUUGUCAAUGAAAACAAUAACAAAGUUGUCGAGGAAUGGUUUGCAGAUUCGAUUCAUUAGGUCCAUGAAUGUGGCAGGGGCAUUCGUUAGACCGAAGGGCAUUACGACAAAUUCAUAAUGUCCGUAACGAGUUCAGAAAGCGGUUUUGGGAAUAUCCUCUUCCCGAACCUUGAGUUGAUGGUACCUGGAUCGCAGAUCUAUCUUAGAGAAGUAACUAGCUCCUUGGAGUUGGUCAAAUAGAUCGUCGAUUCGUGGGAGUGGAUAGCGAUUUUUGAUAGUGAGCUUAUUUAGUUCUCUAUAAUCGAUGCACAUCCUAAAAGAUCCGUCAUUCUUCUUGAUAAAGAGGACUGGAGCUCCCCAUGGCGAGAAGUUGGGUCGGAUGAAUCCCUUGUCCACGAGUUCACUGAGUUGGCUGGACAAUUCCUGCAUCUCAGCAGGAGCCAAUCUGUAAGGUGAUUUAGCAAUGGGAGUAGCUCCUGGCACAAGAUCAAUUCGAAAUUCAAUUUGUCUUUCUGGGGGUACUCCAUGAAGAUCUUCAGGAAAUACGUCUAGGAAUUCACAUGCUACAUGAAUGUCUUGAACGUUAACCUCUUCCUUGGAUUUAUCCACUAUGUGCGCCAGGAACGUCAAAUCUUUCUUUCGCAGAUGUUUCUGUCCCUGGACGCACGAGAUGAGACGAAGAUUUGUGUUGGGUUUGUCUCCGUAAAUAAUUAGGGUUUCAUGAUUUGGAAGGCGAAGGCGAACGACCUUCUCGUGACACAUAAUUUCAGCAUGGUGGGGGCUUAACCAAUCCAUNACUAAUAGUUAAACUUAGAUCCAACUCAAGGGUUGCAUGCACACAUAUGAUUGUUUGUAUAAAACCCAUCAAAAUCAACAAUAUUAUGAGGCGAAGACAAAAUGACUGUCACACCCCCGAACCAGGUGGCAAAAACGUCCGAGGGCUCUUGUGACUUAAAUUGAAUACCAUCACAAUGAAUAUACAUGAAGCAUAACAUAAAUCAUCACCAUGCAUUGAAAUAAUACAACUGAUAUUGUUUACAUCCAGUACAUUGUUUUAAACAUUACAAUUUCAUAACAUAAACUGUCUGAUAGAUAUCAUAAGCAAAACAUCCAGACAUUGAGCUUCUGGGGUUGUUGUUUUAACAAAUGCUUAAACUUAUUGCUCACAAAACUUCGUUCUGCUCCGGUAUCAAAUAGGAUGCAUGCAUAAGUGUGGUUUAGGAGGAACGUACCAGUAACGGCAGCGGGAUCCUGAACUGCUUCUCCCUGAACUAUGGUCAGCACCCUUCCUGUUCCUCCAUUUCCAAGAUUGUUUUUGUUGGGGCAGUUUUGACGAAAAUGGCCAGUCCUUCCACAUCCAUAGCAGGUGUGGCUUGGUCCUGCAUUGUUUCCGCCAUUGUCGGUGUUGUUGUUGUUGUUGCGGUUAUUGUUGUUGUUGUUUCCCUGUUGUUGGUUCUGAGGAGGGUAGGUCCUGUAAUACUUUGCCGUGUGCCCCUUCCGAUUACAACUGGUGCACUGCAUCUACCUGCAUUCUCCAUUAUGAUGGAGACCGCACUUAUUGCACUUAGGAAGAUUACCGGAAUNAUUUUUGCACUUAGGAAGAUUACCAGAAUAUGGCCUAGGAGCACUUGGAGCAGCUGAGGCUGGAGCAUGUGGUGUGGGUGGAACUUGAGUGGUUGCAGCAUUAACUGCCACUGUUUGCUGUUUCUUGGAUGAUUCGGAGCCUUGACGUCCCUUCCUCUUGUUGUUAUUUCCCUUUUUGUUGUCAUUUUCCUUCUUACCUUCUGUCUCCACUAGCUUCUCACCCUUCUUGUUGUUGUGGUCAUACAGCUUCUUGGCCAAUCUUUUGGCACUGUCGAAAGUUUUGGGGUUUGAAGCUAUCACGUUUCCUUGGAUCGGGGAGGUUAGUCCCUAGAUGAAUCGUUCGAUCUUCUUUCCUUCUGAGGUGAUCAUUACAGGGCAUAGCAGAGACAGUUCACUAAACCUUGAUAUGUAUGCAUAUGUAUCAGUGUUCAUGACGGUGAGAUUCCACAGCUCUUGUUCCAUUUUCUGAAUUUUGCCACGAGGGCAGUACUCGGCCAUUAGCAUUUUUUUCAUCUCUGCCCAUGGCAUGGAAUUGGCUACGGGGAGUGUCAUGGCUUCCACGUGUCCGUUCCACCAAGUAAGUGCUUGGUCAACAAAAGUGCAUGCGGCAAACUUCACCUUCAUCUCCUCAGGGCAUUCACAUAUCUCGAACACCGAUUCCACCUUCUCGAUCCAUCGUUUCAGGGUAAUCAUUCCUCCAGUGCUGUUAAAGGUUUGUGGUUUGGUGUUGGUUAAAUAUUUGUAGGAGCAUGUUUUGGUAGGUCCUUGAUUCAUCCUGUUGUUUGAGCUUACAGCCCCUUGUCCGUUGACUCCUCCAUUGUUCCCCUGGUGAAUUUGUGCCAUUGCUGCGGUGACCGCAGCAGAUACAGCUACUUGGAAUGCAGCUGAGUUGACUUCGGGUGGGGUUGGUCCAGGGUUUCCGCGGGUGGGUCGUGGAGGCAUCUUUCUGUCAUGGAACAGAAAGAUGUUGAGUGUCUGUGGUUUUUGUGAGGUUGUGAUCCUAUAAACUAGGUGUGUGGCACAAACUUAAGUAAUUUCACAAAUUAGCACACAAUCAUGGAUAUGUAACACAUAGCAGAUUUAAAACAUCACAGUAAACCUAUAAAAUUUUUCAUUAAUAUUAUCCGCACUUUGAUACAUGAAAAUUUUGCUCGAAAGAGCAUACAUAAGUGGUACAAGUUCGGCAGCAUAACGGCUCUAUGAGUAGUGUAAUCACUUAAACAUAGAGUCGGGGUACAUAGCAUAGGUCAUAGUACUAAAGACGGGUAUGACUAGUCCUAGUCGUGGUGAGUUCUAUAUAGCAGGUAGUAGAGAAGGUCCUAUUAGUAAGGGUGACGACGACGCUCAAUCGUCGAGGUGACGCACCAGAAGUUCAGCCAGUUCAUCCGCCUCUUGGUUGAUUACCUCUGCUUUUCACUCGGCUCGCGCAACCCUUGCCUUGGCCAUGCUGAGUUGAAGCUUCAGGCUGAUAACUGCCUCCUCGAGAGCGCAUAAGUAGUCUGUAUCCACCCCUUGAAACAUGUGGAAAUUUAACGGGGGUUCCAACUGGUGACGUUCACUACACACCUCCUCUACGUCCUUCUCCUCGUGUGGCUCCUGGUCGAACUCAUCAUAAUCGAAAUCAACCAUCACAUAUUCGUCCUGUACCUCUUCAGGUCCAAUGUUGUGUGCCAUUCCUUGAUCUACCUCAGGCUCAUCCUUGACCCUCCCGUGGGCUACUAGGACUUGAUGAAACUGAAUGCCCUGCUGCUCCCCUUCCAUAGCGACUGAGAGGAGGUAUACAAAUAAACUAUCAUUACUCCUAGGACGCUACAAUUAUUGUAUAUAUCGAGCUGAUGUUCUCUUCUUGGUGAUAAAGGGGUAUUUUUUUAGGUUCCCUAGCCAUCACGAUUUCCUCGCGACAUGUGAUAGUUGCACCUUGGAGGAAAUGUAGUUGAUCAGGCUACAUCCACUGCUUGAUACGACUAUGAACAGUCUUGGCUUAACCAAGAUGCUAGCAUUAUCUUGUUUGGUUCGGUAUUAUGUUGUUAUUCCUAAUUUACACAAGCAAGGAUGUUUNAAAGACAGUUCGCUAAACCUUGAUAUGUAUGCAUCUAUAUCAGCGUUCCAGAUGGUGAGAUUCCAUAGCUCUUGUUCCAUUUUCUAAAUUUCGCCACGAGGGCAGUACUCGGCCAUCAGCAUUUCUCUCAUCUCUGCCCAUGGCAUGGAAUUGGCUACGGGGAGUGUCAUGGCUUCCACGUGUCCGUUCCACCAAGUGAUUGCUUGGUCAACGAAAGUGCAUGCGGAAAACUUCACCUUCAUCUCCUCAGGGCAUUCACAUAUCUUGAACACCGAUUCCACCUUCUCGAUCCAUCGUUUCAAGGUAAUCAUUCCUCCAGUGCCGUUAAAGGUUCAUGGUUUGGCGUUGGUGAAAUCUUUGUAGGAGCAUGUUUUGGUAAGUCCUUGAUUCAUCCCGUUGUUUGAGCUUCCAACCCCUUGUCCGUUGACUCCUCCAUUGUUCCCCUGGUGAAUUUGUGCCAUCGCUGCGGUGACCGCAGCGGAUACAGCUGCUUGGAAUGCAGCUGAGUCGACUUCGGGAGGGGUUGGCCCAUGGUUUCUGCGGGUGGGUCAUGGAGGCAUCUUUCUGUCAUGGAACAGAAAGAUGUUGAGUGUCUGUGGUUUUUGUGAGGUUGUGAUCCUAUAAACUAGGUGUGUGGCACAAACUUAAGUAAUUUCACAAAUUAGCACACAAUCAUGGAUAUGUAACACAUAGCAGAUUUAAAACAUCACAGUAGACAUAUAAAAAUUUUCAUUAAUAUUAUCCGCACUUUGAUACAUGAAAAUUUUGCUCGAAAGAGCAUACAUGAGAGGUACAAGUUUGGCAGCAUAACGGCUCUAUGAGUAGUGUAAUCACUUAAACAUAGAGUCGAUGGUACAUAGCCUAGAUCAUAGUACUAGUACUAAGGACUGAUACGGCUAACCCUAGUUACGGUGGGAUGUGCCAGGGGGUGGUGUUGAGGAAGUGGAUGCUCCCUGAAGACGAGCCACCUGUCGUUCUGCAUUCUGGAGUCGGGACUCCCACCUAACCUACCUCAUGUGUAAUUAUCGGAGGACGUCUCGCGUCUUGCGUCUCCUGCUCUGCACGCUCAACCCUAGUCCACAUCUGGCGUACCUGAUCGGCAGUACUCUGAGCUAGGUCGCAUGUGUUCCGUAAUCGUCUCACCAUGACUGGAAGGGCACGAUCGGCCGGUCCUCCAUCUCUCAGGUCAAAGAGCUCCUGUGACAUGCCGAACGGGGGUCGCUGUCCCUGCUGCCUGCUCCAUCUCCAAAGAUCGAUACCCUAGGGAGGUGUAGGACCAGUGGGGCCCACCCGGUAAGCAGGCACCCUAAUCGGAUAAGGGGGGUUGAUGACUUCAGACUCUGCGUCCGAAUCACCCUCUUCGUUAUCGUUGGGUUCCUCCUCGAGACCUCCUUCAGCUUCCUCCUCCUCCUAUUCCUCUACUGACUCGGCAGGGUCGCCCNUCCGCCCUCGACUUCUGCUUCAGGUUCCCCGUCGGAUUCCUCCUCGGGGUCUUCCUCAGGCUCUUCUUCAGGUUCUUCGUCCAACCAUCCGUUAUUCCCCUAGUUUGGGAAAUAAGGAUCUUCGGGGUGGUGGAAACCAGCCAUUUUGUCUGCGAGAGUGUGUAAAUAUGCUAACAUUAUUCCUAAGAUGCUACAAUUAUUGUAUAGAUUGAGAUGAUGUUCUCUUCUUGGUGAUAGAGGGUAUGUUUUUAGGUUCCCUAGCCAUCACGAUUUCCUCGGGACAUGUGAUAGUUGUACCUUGGAGGAAAUAUAGUUGAUCAGGCUACAUCCACUCCUUGAUACGACUAUGAACAGUCCUGGCUUAACCGAGAUGCUAGCAUUAUCUUGUUUGGUUCGGUAUUAUGUUCUUUUUCCUAAUUAACACAAGCAAGGAUGUUUUAUUGUUAUGUUUUGCUUGUUUUGUUCAGAGUUGCAUGUAACGUCCCAAUAUUCACGUCCAAAAAUUUCGUUUUUAAAACAUUACUUAGAAAACAUUAAUAAUUAAAAACAUUGUUUAAUUAAACCAUUUCACAUCGGAAACCAAAUUUGAAAUCCACAACAUGUCAAUAACCAAAAUAUCAGAGCGUCAAUCCCAGAAUAAACUCAUAACUACGGAAACAAGAGUGUGUGUGAUAGGCCGCUACCGUGCCGGCUCCUUCCCCUUCGAAGAAGAGGUACCUGAAAACCAAAACUGAAAACCGUAAGCACGAAGCUUAGUGAGUUCNAAAAACAUAAGCACAAAGCUUAGUGAGUUCCCCCAUCGUACCACAUACCAUACAACACAUAUCAUACAUACUGUCAGGCUAUUCUGGGGUGCCUGACUACCCAGUACGGCCAUUCUGGGGUUCCAACUACCCAUGCGGCCAUUCUAGGGUGUUGUCUACCCGUACGGCCAUUCUGGGGUGCCGUCUACCCGUAUCAAGCCAUUUUGGGGUGCUGACUACCCAUGCCAAGCCGUUCUAGGGUGCUGACUACCCUUCGGUCCUAACGACCGAACCUCGGGGACUAUUCCACCCCCUACUACUACUACUAUCACAUAUCACAACAUAACAUAUUAUCAGACAUAUCUGGGAUGUCUGAACUACCCUUCGGUCCUAACAACCGAACUCGGGGACUGUUCCCCUCCUACUACCUCUAACUCAUAUAACAGAUCAUACUAGCAUAUAAACAUAACAUCACAUACUGUCAGACGUAUCUGGGGUGUCUGACUACCCUCCGGUCCUAACAACCGAACUCUACUACUGUCACAUAUAACAUAUCAUGCUAGCAUUUAACAUAUCAGGUAGUAGCAAACCUAGAUGAUAUCACAGAGACAAUCAUCUAUCAUACGUCUCCUACUGGUGGGCCGGCAUUGUGGCCUUAGACCCACCGCUACUGGAAGGUAACUCACCUCNNNNNNNNNNNNNNNNNNNNNNNNNNNNNNNNNNNNNNNNNNNNNNNNNNNNNNNNNNNNNNNNNNNNNNNNNNNNNNNNNNNNNNNNNNNNNNNNNNNNNNNNNNNNNNNNNNNNNNNNNNNNNNNNNNNNNNNNNNNNNNNNNNNNGCCCCCCCCCCCCGCCGAGUCCCUUCCAUAUGUUCUAGUUCUACACCCGUUCCUACUCAUCGAGCUUAGCGAACACUCGACGCGUUCUUCCUCGAUGCAUACAUACUAAGUCCAAGUUCAUCUAACUUGCCGAGUUGAAGAACAACUCGUCGAGUCUAAGGCAAUCUUCAUUGGACUCGUCGAGUCCACGGCUAACUUCAUAGGACUCGCCGAGUCCAUCGUUCUACUCGUCGAGUUCAUUCAAUCCUUUUUCUAUACAGACCUGAUUUGAGCCAUGCAGCAGCUCCAAACCACAGAUCUAGGCUUCUAGGGCAUGCUUAUCACGUAAAGUUGCAAACUUUACGUGCAUGCAUAGCUUUAGGGGCUUCAAAUGUCCAAACUAAGCUCUUAAUGGGGUUCUAAGCUCAAGAGGGACCUUAAUCACCAAUAUGACUGAAACAUAACACUUCAAGAAGGUAAUGAGAGUCCAGAUCUGAAGUAUAACCUGACCAUAAGGUUUCACUUCAAGGAUUUGGGGUUUUAGGGCUUAAAAGUAACAAUUUAGGGACAAACAAGAUCUAAUAGAUCAAUAAUGAAUAUGGAAACUUUAUUACCAGAAUGGAUGACCACAAAUGAAUGUGUUCUGGAUCCAAGUCCCCCUCCUUGACCUCUUCAACUUCUCCCUUCUUCCACUUGCUCCAAGGUGCACCAAAAGUCCCUUCACAAGGCAACAAUCACUCAAACUUAUCAAUGGAGGCUAGGGUUUUCGAUAAGGAAUGCUCUGAGGGUGAUGGGGGAUGAGAUGGGGCUGUAAGGACAUUUAAAUAGGGUGCAAACCCUAAGGUUUAGGGUCUCCUCCUGAUUGGCCUACUUGCCGAGUCCAGGCGUGGACUCGCCGAGUAGAUCACUUAAAGCCCGCAUCCACUCGACAUCUACUCGGCGAGUUAGGGCUACAACUCGCCGAGUAGCUCUUCCCAAAAGAACAUUUAAUCAAAAUAAAUACGUACCAGGAACGGGGCGUUACAAAUCUCCCCCACUUAUCUUAGACUUCGUCCUCAAAGUCUGCUGACUCCAGAAACAACUCUGGGUAGUGCUCCCUCAUCUCCUCCUCCGCCUCCCAUGUCCACUCUGAACCCCUUCGGUGCUGCCACUGCACCUUCACUAACUGAACCACCUUGUUCCUCAAGGUCCUCAUCUUUCGAUCUAAGAUCGCAACUGGUCUCUCGAUAUAAUUCAGGUUGCUAUCGACCUAAAUAUCCUCCAAGGGUACAACUGCCGACUCGUACACCAAACAUUUUCUCAACUGAGAAACAUGAAAAGUGUUGUGGAUCUGGCUAAGCCCUGCUGGAAGAUCCAACCUAUAGGCGGCCCGACCCACCCGGGCCAAAACCCUAAAAGGACCAAUGAACCUGGGGCCCAACUUGCCCCUCUUCUAGAACCUAAUGACACCCUUCCAGGGUGAUACCUUCAGGAGGACCAUGUCACCCACCUGAAACUCCAAGUCUGAAUGCCUUCUGUCGGCGUAACUCUUCUGCCGACUCUGCGCAGUCUGCAGCCUGCUACGAACCUGCUGGAUCAACUCUGUCGUCUUGAGCACCACUUCGGUGCUCCCGAUGACGCGCUGACCGACCUCGCCCCAACAAAUCGGGGUCCUGCACUUUCUCCCGUAGAGCAUCUCGAAAGGAGGGCGGUCAAUACUCGCAUGGUAGCUGUUGUUAUAUGAAAACUCAGCCAAGGGAAGAUAGGUAUCCCAACUACCACCGAAGUCUAGCACGCACGCCCGCAACAUAUCCUCCAGAGUCUGGAUGGUCCGCUCACUCUGACCAUCUGUCUGCGGGUGAAAGGCGGUGCUAAAAUGCAAACGAGUGCCCAACUCGUCAUGAAACCUCUUCCAAAACCUGGAAAUAAAACGCACAUCCCUGUCCGAGAUAACCGAUAUCGGCACCCCGUGCCUCGCCACAAUCUCUCUAAUAUAGAUGUCAGCCAAUUUCUCGGCCGAUAUGCUCUCCUUAAUCGGAAUAAAAUGAGCACUCUUGGUCAAUCGAUCCACGAUGACCCAAAUCGAAUCUACUCCACGUGCGGUCCUGGGAAGCUUCGUGAUAAAAUCCAUCGUGAUAUCUUCCCAUUUCCACAACGAGAUGUCCAACGGCUGCAUCUUGCCAUGCGGUCUCUGAUGUUCGGCCUUGACCUUCCUGCAGGUCAAGCACCGCUCG